GGGGAAUAUUGCACAAUGGGCGCAAGCCUGAUGCAGCGACGCCGCGUGGGGGAUGACGGCCUUCGGGUUGUAAACUCCUUUCGCCAGGGACGAAGCGCAAGUGACGGUACCUGGAGAAGAAGCACCGGCCAACUACGUGCCAGCAGCCGCGGUAAUACGUAGGGUGCGAGCGUUGUCCGGAAUUACUGGGCGUAAAGAGCUCGUAGGCGGUUUGUCACGUCGUCUGUGAAAUCCUGCAACUCAAUUGUAGGCGUGCAGGCGAUACGGGCAGACUUGAGUACUACAGGGGAGACUGGAAUUCCUGGUGUAGCGGUGAAAUGCGCAGAUAUCAGGAGGAACACCGGUGGCGAAGGCGGGUCUCUGGGUAGUAACUGACGCUGAGGAGCGAAAGCGUGGGGAGCAAAC
rnacentral:rRNA from 1 species